GCACCUUCGGUGUCCGAUUUGUAAUUUGAAGAUUGUAACCUUGGGGUUGGCUCUUGUCUAUGUUUCUUGGAACAGGACGUCACAGAGGGUGAGAAUCCCGUGCGAUGAGAUGCCCAAUCCUAUGUAAGGUGCUUUCGAAGAGUCGAGUUGUUUGGGAAUGCAGCUCUAAGUGGGUGGUAAAUUCCAUCUAAAGCUAAAUAUUGGCGAGAGACCGAUAGCGAACAAGUACAGUGAUGGAAAGAUGAAAAGAACUUUGAAAAGAGAGUGAAAAAGUACGUGAAAUUGUUGAAAGGGAAGGGUUUGAGAUCAGACUCGAUAUUUUGUGAGCCUUGCCUUCGUGGCGGGGUGACCCGCAGCUUAUCGGGCCAGCAUCGGUUUGGGCGGUAGGAUAAUGGCGUAGGAAUGUGACUUUGCUUCGGUGAAGUGUUAUAGCCUGCGUUGAUGCUGCCUGCCUAGACCGAGGACUGCGAUUUUAUCAAGGAUGCUGGCAUAAUGAUCCCAAACCGCC
rnacentral:rRNA from 1 species